rnacentral:rRNA from 1 species
AGUCGAGCGCACCUUCGGGUGAGCGGCGGACGGGUUAGUAACGCGUGGGAAUAUACCCUUUGGUACGGAAUAGCCUCUGGAAACGGAGAGUAAUACCGUAUGAGCCCUUCGGGGGAAAGAUUUAUCGCCAAAGGAUUAGCCCGCGUUAGAUUAGGUAGUUGGUGGGGUAAUGGCCUACCAAGCCUACGAUCUAUAGCUGGUUUUAGAGGAUGAUCAGCAACACUGGGACUGAGACACGGCCCAGACUCCUACGGGAGGCAGCAGUGGGGAAUCUUGGACAAUGGGCGCAAGCCUGAUCCAGCCAUGCCGCGUGAGUGAUGAAGGCCUUAGGGUCGUAAAGCUCUUUCGCCUGUGAAGAUAAUGACGGUAGCAGGUAAAGAAACCCCGGCUAACUCCGUGCCAGCAGCCGCGGUAAUACGGAGGGGGUUAGCGUUGUUCGGAAUUACUGGGCGUAAAGCGCACGUAGGCGGACUGGAAAGUUGGGGGUGAAAUCCCAGGGCUCAACCCUGGAACUGCCUCCAAAACUAUCAGUCUAGAGUUCGAGAGAGGUGAGUGGAAUUCCGAGUGUAGAGGUGAAAUUCGUAGAUAUUCGGAGGAACACCAGUGGCGAAGGCGGCUCACUGGCUCGAUACUGACGCUGAGGUGCGAAAGUGUGGGGAGCAAACAGGAUUAGAUACCCUGGUAGUCCACACCGUAAACGAUGAAUGCCAGUCGUCGGGUAGCAUGCUAUUCG